rnacentral:rRNA from 1 species
GGGACACGUGGUAUCCUGUCUGAAUAUGGGGGGACCAUCCUCCAAGGCUAAAUACUCCUGACUGACCGAUAGUGAACCAGUACCGUGAGGGAAAGGCGAAAAGAACCCCGGCGAGGGGAGUGAAAAAGAACCUGAAACCGUGUACGUACAAGCAGUGGGAGCCUCUUUAUGGGGUGACUGCGUACCUUUUGUAUAAUGGGUCAGCGACUUAUAUUCUGUAGCAAGGUUAACCGAAUAGGGGAGCCGAAGGGAAACCGAGUCUUAACUGGGCGUUAAGUUGCAGGGUAUAGACCCGAAACCCGGUGAUCUAGCCAUGGGCAGGUUGAAGGUUGGGUAACACUAACUGGAGGACCGAACCGACUAAUGUUGAAAAAUUAGCGGAUGACUUGUGGCUGGGGGUGAAAGGCCAAUCAAACCGGGAGAUAGCUGGUUCUCCCCGAAAGCUAUUUAGGUAGCGCCUCGUGAAUUCAUCUCCGGGGGUAGAGCACUGUUUCGGCAAGGGGGUCAUCCCGACUUACCAACCCGAUGCAAACUGCGAAUACCGGAGAAUGUUAUCACGGGAGACACACGGCGGGUGCUAACGUCCGUCGUGAAGAGGGAAACAACCCAGACCGCCAGCUAAGGUCCCAAAGUCAUGGUUAAGUGGGAAACGAUGUGGGAAGGCCCAGACAGCCAGGAUGUUGGCUUAGAAGCAGCCAUCAUUUAAAGAAAGCGUAAUAGCUCACUGGUCGAGUCGGCCUGCGCGGAAGAUGUAACGGGGCUAAACCAUGCACCGAAGCUGCGGCAGCGACACUAUGUGUUGUUGGGUAGGGGAGCGUUCUGUAAGCCUGUGAAGGUGUGCUGUGAGGUAUGCUGGAGGUAUCAGAAGUGCGAAUGCUGACAUAAGUAACGAUAAAGCGGGUGAAAAGCCCGCUCGCCGGAAGACCAAGGGUUCCUGUCCAACGUUAAUCGGGGCAGGGUGAGUCGACCCCUAAGGCGAGGCCGAAAGGCGUAGUCGAUGGGAAACAGGUUAAUAUUCCUGUACUUGGUGUUACUGCGAAGGGGGGACGGAGAAGGCUAUGUUGGCCGGGCGACGGUUGUCCCGGUUUAAGCGUGUAGGCUGGUUUUCCAGGCAAAUCCGGAAAAUCAAGGCUGAGGCGUGAUGACGAGGCACUACGGUGCUGAAGCAACAAAUGCCCUGCUUCCAGGAAAAGCCUCUAAGCAUCAGGUAACAUCAAAUCGUACCCCAAACCGACACAGGUGGUCAGGUAGAGAAUACCAAGGCGCUUGAGAGAACUCGGGUGAAGGAACUAGGCAAAAUGGUGCCGUAACUUCGGGAGAAGGCACGCUGAUAUGUAGGUGAAGUCCCUUGCGGAUGGAGCUGAAAUCAGUCGAAGAUACCAGCUGGCUGCAACUGUUUAUUAAAAACACAGCACUGUGCAAACACGAAAGUGGACGUAUACGGUGUGACGCCUGCCCGGUGCCGGAAGGUUAAUUGAUGGGGUUAGCGGUAACGCGAAGCUCUUGAUCGAAGCCCCGGUAAACGGCGGCCGUAACUAUAACGGUCCUAAGGUAGCGAAAUUCCUUGUCGGGUAAGUUCCGACCUGCACGAAUGGCGUAAUGAUGGCCAGGCUGUCUCCACCCGAGACUCAGUGAAAUUGAACUCGCUGUGAAGAUGCAGUGUACCCGCGGCAAGACGGAAAGACCCCGUGAACCUUUACUAUAGCUUGACACUGAACAUUGAACCUUGAUGUGUAGGAUAGGUGGGAGGCUUUGAAGUGUGGACGCCAGUCUGCAUGGAGCCGACCUUGAAAUACCACCCUUUAAUGUUUGAUGUUCUAACGUUGGCCCCUGAUCGGGGUUGCGGACAGUGUCUGGUGGGUAGUUUGACUGGGGCGGUCUCCUCCUAAAGAGUAACGGAGGAGCACGAAGGUUGGCUAAUCCUGGUCGGACAUCAGGAGGUUAGUGCAAUGGCAUAAGCCAGCUUGACUGCGAGCGUGACGGCGCGAGCAGGUGCGAAAGCAGGUCAUAGUGAUCCGGUGGUUCUGAAUGGAAGGGCCAUCGCUCAACGGAUAAAAGGUACUCCGGGGAUAACAGGCUGAUACCGCCCAAGAGUUCAUAUCGACGGCGGUGUUUGGCACCUCGAUGUCGGCUCAUCACAUCCUGGGGCUGAAGUAGGUCCCAAGGGUAUGGCUGUUCGCCAUUUAAAGUGGUACGCGAGCUGGGUUUAGAACGUCGUGAGACAGUUCGGUCCCUAUCUGCCGUGGGCGCUGGAGAACUGAGGGGGGCUGCUCCUAGUACGAGAGGACCGGAGUGGACGCAUCACUGGUGUUCGGGUUGUCAUGCCAAUGGCACUGCCCGGUAGCUAAAUGCGGAAGAGAUAAGUGCUGAAAGCAUCUAAGCACGAAACUUGCCCCGAGAUGAGUUCUCCCUGACCCUUUAAGGGUCCUGAAGGAACGUUGAAGACGACGACGUUGAUAGGCCGGGUGUGUAAGCGCAGCGAUGCGUUGAGCUAACCGGUACUAAUGAACCGUGAGGCUUAACCUUACAAC